GAUGAAGAACGCAGCGAAAUGCGAUAAGUAAUGUGAAUUGCAGAAUUCAGUGAAUCAUCGAAUCUUUGAACGCACCUUGCGCCCUUUGGCUAUUCCGAAGGGCAUGCCUGUUUGAGUAUCAUGAACACCUCAACUCUCAUGGUUUUUCCAUGAUGGGCUUGGACUUUGGGGGUCUUGCUGGCCUAUGGUCAGCUCCUCUUAAACGAAUCAGCUUGCCAGUGUUUGGUGUGGCAUCACAGGUGUGAUAACUAUCUACGCUUGUGGUUUUCCAUCAAGUAACCUUCAGUGAUGGAGGUUCGCUGGGGCUCAUAAAGGCCUCUCCUCGGUGAGGAUGGCUCCUUUGAACGUUUGAUCUCAAAUCAGGUAGGACUACCCGCUGAACUUAAGCAUAUCAAUAAGCGGAGGA
rnacentral:misc_RNA from 1 species